GAUGAACGCUGGCGGCGUGCCUAAUACAUGCCAGUCGAGCGAACAGACGAGGAGCUUGCUCCUCUGACGUUAGCGGCGGACGGGUGAGUAACACGUGGAUAACCUACCUAUAAGACUGGGAUAACUUCGGGAAACCGGAGCUAAUACCGGAUAAUAUAUUGAACCGCAUGGUUCAAUAGUGAAAGACGGUUUUGCUGUCACUUAUAGCUGGAUCCGCGCCGCAUUAGCUAGUUGGUAAGGUAACGGCUUACCAAGGCAACGAUGCGUAGCCGACCUGAGAGGGUGGUCGGCCACACUGGAACUGAGACACGGUCCAGACUCCUACGGGAGGCAGCAGUAGGGAAUCUUCCGCAAUGGGCGAAAGCCUGACGGAGCAACGCCGCGUGAGUGAUGAAGGUCUUCGGAUCGUAAAACUCUGUUAUUAGGGAAGAACAAAUGUGUAAGUAACUAUGCACGUCUUGACGGUACCUAAUCAGAAAGCCACGGCUAACUACGUG
rnacentral:rRNA from 1 species